rnacentral:rRNA from 1 species
ACAGCAGCAGCCGCGGUAAUACGUAGGGUGCGAGCGUUAAUCGGAAUUACUGGGCGUAAAGCGUGCGCAGGCGGUUCGUUAAGACAGAUGUGAAAUCCCCGGGCUUAACCUGGGAACUGCAUUUGUGACUGGCGAGCUAGAGUAUGGCAGAGGGGGGUAGAAUUCCACGUGUAGCAGUGAAAUGCGUAGAGAUGUGGAGGAAUACCGAUGGCGAAGGCAGCCCCCUGGGCCAAUGCUGACGCUCAUGCACGAAAGCGUGGGGAGCAAACAGGAUUAGAUACCCCCGUAGUCCCUGUCUCUUAUAC